ACAGUUGAGGGAGAGAGAAAUGAAUAUUGAACGGACGAACUUGGUGGUAGCCUCCAACGAGCAGUCUCGUGUUCCCAACGGCGCCGAGAGGCUUUUUGCUGAUGUUCUUCGAGUUUUCUACCGUCUAGGAAUUGUUGAGCUAGAAAACGGGGCUCUUUCUCUUUGAUUCAAUCUCAGACUGGUGCAUAUGCAGACGAACUCAGGUCUGUUAUCGGAGCUCACGUCUCUAUGGGCAACCUUUUCAUCACCAUUGAUGAUGACCAUUUCAAGUGCUUGUUCAACGUAUAAAAGCAUGUCGAGAUGUGGCGGGAAUGAUGACUGUUAAACAUCUCCAAGAAUGGCUAUCCAUUAUGUUUCCAUUGUAGUUUCCUUCUAUUAUGUCUUGACUACGCAUUCUCAUGGUUUGAACCUUCAUAG